rnacentral:tRNA from 1 species
GUUAUAGUAGUUUAAAUAUAAAACACUGGUCUUGUAAACCAAAAUUAGAUAAUUAUCUCUAUAAUU